ACGAAGAGUUUGAUCCUGGCUCAGGAUGAACGCUGGCGGCGUGCCUAACACAUGCAAGUCGAACGGUUAAGGCGGCUUCGGCCGCGUAUAAAGUGGCGAACGGGUGAGUAACGCGUGACCGACCUUCCCCCCGCACCGGGACAACCGCGGGAAACCGCGGCUGAUACCGGGUACUCCGGGGCCCCCGCAUGGGGGCCCCGGGAAAGCUCCGGCGGCGGGGGAUGGGGUCGCGUCCCAUCAGGUAGUAGGCGGGGCAACGGCCCACCUAGCCGACGACGGGUAGCCGGGUUGAGAGACCGACCGGCCACAUUGGGACUGAGAUACGGCCCAGACUCCUACGGGAGGCAGCAGUGGGGAAUUUUGCGCAAUGGGGGCAACCCUGACGCAGCAACGCCGCGUGCGGGACGACGGCCUUCGGGUUGUAAACCGCUUUCAGCAGGGAAGAACCUCUGACGGUACCUGCAGAAGAAGCCCCGGCUAACUACGUGCCAGCAGCCGCGGUAAUACGUAGGGGGCGAGCGUUAUCCGGAAUGAUUGGGCGUAAAGCGCGCGCAGGCGGCCGCUCAAGCGGGACCUCUAACCCCGGGGCUCAACCCCGGGCCGGGUCCCGAACUGGGCGGCUCGAGUGCGGUAGGGGAGAGCGGAAUUCCAAGUGUAGCGGUGAAAUGCGCAGAUAUUUGGAAGAACACCGAUGGCGAAGGCAGCUCUCUGGGCCGUCACUGACGCUGAGGCGCGAAAGCCGGGGGAGCGAACAGGAUUAGAUACCCUGGUAGUCCCGGCCGUAAACGAUGGGCGCUAGGUGUGGGGGGACAUUCCCUCCGUGCCGCAGCCAACGCAUUAAGCGCCCCGCCUGGGGAGUACGGC
rnacentral:rRNA from 1 species